rnacentral:lncRNA from 1 species
AAGAAUGAGAGUUAUGAUCAACUCAGUAUACCACUGGAGGCUACAGGAGCAAACAGCAAACUGUUUCUCAUGAAAGCAGGAUGUUCAAAGCAGGAUGUUGGCAAAAUGACAAACUGCAUCUGCCACCCAGAAGGAAUGCUGAGGGCAGUCAUGCCCCAAGUGCAGUGUUUUUGUGAUUAGGCACAACUGAAGCUUGUUAGCAAUAAUAUGACCCUGUGAUUAAUUGAGCGGCUGACCAAUCAUUACCUCCUCCUCCCUGCUCUUUCUACCCAAUAAAUACAAAGGGCUGUGGAAGCUCAAUGGGCUGCCUUUGCUCAUUAGAAGCAGGGAGCUCUCUUCUUCUUCCCCUGGAUCCUUCCUUUAAAAUAGUUUCUUUUGUCUUAAGUUUUCAUUUCUACGUUUGUCCCUUCAUUCAGUCUCUUAAAUGACGGUCUCAAGCAGUAACAGUAGUAAUUGCUGUAAUGACGGUCUCAAGUAGUAACCAGGGCACUCUGCCACAAGUGGCACCUGAACAGGGACUAACAGGGACUAUCAAGAACAAACGGAGACCUGAAGAGACCUGAAGGGAACUGAAGAGGUCUGCAGGGACAAAUAGAGAUAAGUAGGGAUAAAUAGAGAUAAAUAGAGACAAAUAGAGAUAGGUAAGGAAUGACAGGGACUUGCAGGAAGUAACAGGGACCAUAGGGACAGAUAGGGAUAGAUAAAGACUAGCAAAGACUAGCCGAGAUUAGCAAAGACCAGCAAGGACUAGCAGAGACUAGCAAAGACUAGCAGAAACUUGCAGGGACAGGCAGAGACAGAUAGGGACAGAUAGGGUCCUACAGGGACUUGAACGAGGAAGAUCUGCUGGAAAAGAAAAGAACUACAACCAACCAGAUGAACAAGAAACCCUGUUACAAGUCUGCUGGCAGCAACAUAAGGGUAUGCUUGUUUUUGCAGGAAAUGAACAAAAAGUGUGGGUGCCCCCAAGGUGUGUACUACCAUGGAAUGGGAGAUUGGAGGGACACAUGGAUCCCAACCGUGGGCCUGGUUCCCCCAGUAUGAGCUGAAUACGAAGACAGAACAAACCACCAACCGGCAAUUGAAGGAUGAUGCCCAUUCUAUUUCCUAGGAAGGGAUAAGUUUUAAGGCCUUAUAAAAAGUGACACAAAGUGAACCGGGUUCUAUAAAUUACCAUGGAAAGUGGUGAGCCAACGAUUUGGCAGAACAAAACCCUGAGGAUAUGCAAACAAAAGGGACUAUGGAAUUUGCAAUUGCAGAUUAAAAUUGAAGAAGAAAACAUUUGAGUUGCAAAUACCGUAUUAAAAGUGGACACUGCUUAUGACUGCUGUAUGCAACAGUUUUUCAGGCCCGAGGUGAUAAAUAAAAAAUUGUUUGCUCUAUUUAA